AUGGUGACUGGAGAUGGUGGUGGUAGAGGAUGAAGCGAUAGAGGAUCAUAAGGUGAGCGGUCCAGAUCUAAGUCGAGAGACUUCAACAAGAUGAGAUAUUAUCGAUGUGAUGAGCUGGGGUAUCAAGUCAGAGAUUGUCCAUAGCUUAGAGGUCGGAUGAAGGCUACUACAGCGAUGGUCCAUGGUAGCGACACUGAUGAGAGUAAUGAUAUGC
rnacentral:lncRNA from 1 species